UGCGUUUAAUUCCAUGUGUUUAAACUGCUAUUUCCAUUUUGUGCACGUCGAAAUCCCUUCAUUUCGGCUUUCCCAAUUUUACCCUUAAAGGCCCCUUAACGGCGUGAAAAGGAGAAGUGGGGAGUUCUUUAUAAGGCAAAUUGGAAAAGAUUACCACCAAAAAUGUUUUUUGGCCCCCCCAUAAAAUAGUUUUUGGUGUUCCCGGUUUGGGGUGGUCAAAUUUGGGGUUUAAAACCCGUGGUGGGAUCCCCGCCCAGGAAGAGUUGGGGUUAAACCCUGGGAAAUUGUUUUUUAUUCCGUUAAAACACACAAGAGACCCCCACUGGUUUUUCUUUUUUAAAAGCUGGCCUUUUUUGAAUUAUGGUUUAAGGAACGAACCCGGGGGGUUUUUUAAGGUUAGUUGGUGAGAUAAUAGCUCACCAAGGCAAUGAUACGUAGCAGACCUGAGAGGGUAAUCUGCCCACAAAUGGGACUGAGACACGGCCCAUACUCCUACGGGAGGCAGCAGUAGGGAAUCUUCCACAAUGGACGAAAGUCUGAUGGAGCAACGCCGCGUGAGUGAAGAAGGGUUUGGGUUCGUAAAACUCUGUUGUUAGAGAAGAACAGCCGUGAGAGCAACUGCUCACGGUAUGACGGUAUCUAACCAGAAAGUCACGGCUAACUACGUGCCAGCAGCCGCGGUAAUACGUAGGUGGCAAACGUGGUCCGGAUUUAUUGGGCGUAAAGGGAGGGCCGGGCGGUUUAUUAAGUUUGAUGGGAAAGCCUUUGGGUUUAACCGGAGAAGUGCAUUGGAAACUGAUAAACUUGAGUGCAGAAAAGGAUAGUGGAACUUCAUGUGUAGCGGUGAAAUGCGUAGAUAUAUGAAGGAACACCAGUGGCGAAGGGGGCUAUCUGGUCUGUAACUGACGCUGAGGCUCGAAAGCAUGGGUAGCAAACAGGAUUAGAUACCCUGGUAGUCCAUGCCGUAAACGAUGAAUGCUAGGUGUUGGAAGGUUUCCGCCUUUCAGUGCCGCAGCUAACGCAUUAAGCAUUCCGCCUGGGGAGUACGACCGCAAGGUUGAAACUCAAAGGAAUUGACGGGGACCCGCACAAGCGGUGGAGCAUGUGGUUUAAUUCGAUGCUACGCGAAGAACCUUACCAGGACUUGACAUUUUUUGCCAAUUUAAGAGAUUAGACGUUCCCUUUGGGGACAGAAUGACAGGUGGUGCAUGGUUGUUGUCAGCUCGUGUCGUGAGAUGUUGGGUUAAGUCCCGCAACGAGCGCAACCCUUGUCUUUAGUUGCCAGCAUUAAGUUGGGCACUCUAGAGAGACUGCCGGUGAUAAACCGGAGGAAGGUGGGGAUGACGUCAAAUCAUCAUGCCCCUUAUGUCCUGGGCUACACACGUGCUACAAUGGGCGAUACAACGAGUUGCGAAACCGCGAGGUCAAGCUAAUCUUUUAAAGUCGUUCUCAGUUCGGAUUGCAGUUUGCAACUCGACU
rnacentral:rRNA from 1 species